UCUUCUCCACUUUCCUUUACAUCAAUCGCUUUCACUUGAAUUGGGGCUCUGCAAAUCGGGCAGUUACAAUGAGACUGAAACCACAUAUCAAUACACUCACAGUGAAAACAAUGAUUACAUUUGGGCAAAACCCGACCCGUUUCUCCAUUUUCAAAUUCCGCCAAACAAACAGGGCAUUCAAUUGGUGGAUUGUAAAAUUCCGCAUCGUAAACGAAAACAGGGAGUGAUUUUAACAGCGAAGGGUCAAGUCCUUGAGAAGAAGAAUCUGCAAUUGGUGGAGCCGGAAUCUGGUGGCGGUAGCGACGGCGGCGGUUGUGGUGGCGGCGGGCACGGCGGAGGAGGAAUCGAUUAGCGUAAAGGUGGAAGAAGGCAAUGAGAAAACACACGAAGAAGAAGAG
rnacentral:misc_RNA from 1 species